ACACAACCCAUGGUGAGCGAGCGAGCGAGCGUCAGCCUGGCGUGCCGCUGCUCCACCAGGAUUAGAUAAACUUGAACCCUGAAGUCUCCACUGCAUGCAAGCGGUUAUAUUGACGUUCAGGAUUAGGGACCCAGCACUUCACCUUUCAUAGAACAGAGAGGAAGGAGACAGCAAGAGGCUUUUCGGAUGGACAAUUAAGAGUUAACCACCUAGCUGUGAGUCUGGAGUCAUUAUCAGGCCAGACCAGACAAGAAGAAGUGGAGCGAAUCUAGGGAUGAGCAGUGGUAAUGGAACUUCCCAAUGAAAGCCUGAAGUAUGAAGCUUAGAUUGAGCUCAGUCAGAGCAAGAAUGGAAAUGGAGCACAGAGGACCAGAGAGAACCUUCACUGAAUCCAGAGGCAGAACGUCUGAGGUGAUGCCCAGAUGCCAAAAGUUAUGCUGGACCAGAGGAAGCAGCUGAUUGGUUGAGUAAGAUCGGACAAGAAAAUAAAAGGGAGAAACACGCUGAUCCUUGAUCCAGCACCUAUCUACAGCCUGACACCAGACACUGGGAAUGGGAAGUAAUAAUUCUUCAGGUUAGAGUUCCGGUGAGACGGGUCCCAGAGUGAAAAACAAACACCGAGCAGCCAUCAAAGUACAGCCUGGCAAUGACAAUGGGAUCAAAAGAAGUUUCAAUUGGGAAGUGGGGUCCUUCUAAGCAGUUACAGCUCACAGUAGAAGAGACAAGAAUUCUUGUGAGAAGGCACCAUCAUGUUCUCCCUCCCUCACAGUGCCAGCAUAAAGAAUGACAACUUAUCUGGAUUUUGUGCAGUGAGAUACCCAGGAUUAAAGCAUAGCAGCAAGUUUAAUGAUAGAAAAGCUCAGGAUACAGCUCUCUAGAAAGCAAGGCACUAUCUCAACUUUGCUGAGGAGAACUGAGAGAGAGGACAUGAAUUGCCCAGGAAUAAAAUUAAAACUAUUGGUCAUAACAACAUUGACAACUUACAUUUAUUUAAUACAUUUAAUGUAGUAAAAUGUCCCAAGGUACAUCAUAGGUGUGUUAGGAAAGAAAAUUUGAUACUGAGCACAAGACGAUUUUAGAGUCAUUGGCUAAAACUUUAGCUAAAGAGAUUGAUUUAACGGAGUGUCUUAAAGGAAAAAGAUAGAAAGAAAGGUGGAGAGAUUUAGGAAGGAAGUCCUAGUGUUUAGAACCUGGCACCAAGUAUGAAUGUUAAAAUCAGGAAUGGGUAAGAGCCUAGAACUGGCAGAAUACUUAUAUUUCAGAGGUUUGUAGGGCUACAGGAGUUAGAGCAUUAGAGAGUGCUUGAUGUCACGGGGAGGGAUUUGAAGUUAAAGGUAAGAAUUUUAAAUUGAAUUGUAAUCAAUCAGGGAUCAGUGAACACAAGAAUAAUAGGUGAACAGGAGUUGGCACAACCUAGGAUACCGGCAACAGAGUUUUGUAACUGCUAACAUUCAUGAAGGAUGUAGGAUGGGAAUUCGUAAAACAUGAAUUGAAUCAGUGACAUCAAGAGAUAACAAAGACAUGGAUGAAGAUUUCAGUAACUGAUAAGAUGGGCCAAUGUUAAGGAAGUGUAUAUAAUUUACCAGUCUCUGAUAGCUAAUAUGGUUGGUAUGUUGGUUUAGCAUCAAAUACAACACUAAGGUUAUAAAAAGCAUCAGAAAUCUGAUGGAAUCAAUAGCUAGAAACAGGAAUUUGUAGUAAAAACUGAAGACUAAAACAUCACGCCUACCAAAAUUUAGAGGUUUUUACUUAUGUAUUACUGGUUGCUCGACUUAUCAUUUAAUGACAGUGCAGAAAUUGGAAGUGAGAUAAAAUAGGUAUCAUCAGGGCAUAUGGAGCCUGGCAUGUUUAUAGAUGAUGUCAAGGGGUGUCAUGUAGAUGAUAACUAGGAGCUGUCUGAGAAUAGGUCCUUGAGGGAUUCCAGAGGUUAUUGUGUGGGAGUGGGAAGAGAAGUUAAGACUGGUAAUUCUUUGGAUACGACUGGAUAGUCAGGAGUGCAACCACAGGACAGUCUCACCCAGCUGGAGGAGAGGUGUUGGAGGAUGCUGGUAUAAUCUGUUGUAUUAUGGCCUAGAUUUCAGAGCCAAAAAGCCUGUAAUUUAAGACUGUUAUGUGACAUCAUGACCUGUGAUGUUCUGCCGUAAAGGUAUCUGCUUUGCCUUCAGUAACUCUCUCGGUGUAAUGGAGUCACUGUAGUCAGUUAAUUAUGAGUGUGUAAUAUAGAAUAAUGUUGAAAGCAUAGAACACAGAUAAUGUGUGUAAGUCUG